ACAAAAAUGGCGGAGAUAACUAUUAUUUUGAUUCCAUACUUCAAAUCUUUCGAUUCUUGCUGUUUCUAGGUUUACUCAAUCCAAAUUUUGAUGAAACUGACUUUGGAUCUGAAUCGCUGCACUUUCCUCCCACGAACCCUAGAAUCACCUCCUACUUUGAACUUCAUAGAGAAACGAUCAGAUGUUACUUUGCUCUCUCCUCUUAUCUUCCCCCGUGACCCUAACUUCUUACUCUCACGGUCUCAAA
rnacentral:lncRNA from 1 species